UUUUUUCCAUACUAACAUUCGGAGCGCAACUUGAAACCAAGAGGGAUUAGAAGGAACCAUCGGUUUAAAUCUCCAUUUUCCUUUUAUCCUCAUUCUACGACCUCAGGAUCUCUAAGCCUCGCAAAGAUGAAGUCUUAGUUGCAAAUAAGGUUUGCACUUGUAACAAAGACGGCCAUUGAGUCGACGCGGGAGCUAUUAAUUGCGAUUGCUAAGCAAAUGUGCGCGCGCGCACGAGACAGGAUUCGCGAAACCCGUACUCUCGUGAAAUAUGCGUGGUCAUCCUUCUCCAUCUAUCCCUCUCUCCGCACGUCCUUCGUAACGGACUGUCCUUCCUUCGCUGGCAAUUCCUUCACGAGUCUCGCCGAAACAUCCUGCCUGCACCGGCUAACGCCUUUUCCACGUAUAAGAGUCUCGACGACGCCGAUCCCGGGCGCGCUCGCACUCGCGCUUCGCGCCACACAAAGCCGUGGGCACCAUCGCACCGUCGCCGGCUCACAUGUAAAUCACGUGUGCCACACACGAGGCGCGCGGUAUUAACCGGUGGAAAGAACCAAGAACACGAGAACACGAGAAAGAGGAGGAGGGAGAGAGAACAAACCGACAUCGGAUCCGGUAGACGCGAGAGAAGCUCGCACAUUCCUCGGAAGAUGUGAGAAACUGGAGAACUAAGCGCGAAAGCACAUUGAGAAGAUAAAAAAGUUUCUAAGAGGAAAUAGAAGAAGAUAGAUGACACAGAAGAUGUCACGCUUACGAAAAAAAAAAAAAUCUAGCAGUAAUAAGAUUUGUAUUUUUUGUUAAUGCUUAAAGGCUUUAGAAGAAGAAGAAGAAAAACAAGAAAGGAAGAGACAAGUGUUAGUGUCGUUACCAAUGUGAUACUAGCGUGCCAGACAGGUUGAAUGAUUCAAGGAUGCAUACCAAUUGCAAGGAUGCAUCCGUUGUAAAUUGAUGAGGAAGAACAACGGUUGUCCACGACAAUACGAGCAGUGCUAAAUCUUCCUGGCAAUUUCCGAGAGAGGAUCGCAUCCCGGCAUGUUCGAUAAUUGCUCGAUCCUUCGUUGUAGCCCACGAGCGGACCCGAAGUGGAAACUGGACCCGUUGCGUUUAAAGAGCUCGGGACACCAAAAGGAUCAAUUUAGAAAUCAGUCGCAGCCGGUCUGGUUAAACCGGUCGCUCCUGCUCCUUGCAAUUCCUGAAUCGCUAGAAAAAAAUCCACUACGAAAAACGCUAAACUAACUACUUGGCACGUUACUAAUACCGUAUAACCGAUAAAAUGAUUACAAAGUCUCUGGUAAUAGCGAAAGUAAUUAGGACGA